GAUGAACGCUGGCGGCGUGCCUAAUACAUGCAAGUCGAGCGAACAGACGAGGAGCUUGCUCCUCUGACGUUAGCGGCGUAUGGGUGAGUAACACGUGGAUAAGCUACCUAUAAGACUGGGAUCACUUAGGGAGACCGGACAUAAUGCAGGAUCUUCUAUUGAACCGCAUGGUUCAAUAGUGAAAGACGGUUUUGCUGACAAUUAUAGAUGGAUCCGCGCCGCGUUAGCUAGUUGGGAAGGUAACGGCUUAACAAGGCCACCAUGCGUAGCGGACCUGAGAGGGAGAUCGGCCACACGGGAACUGAGACACGGUCCAGACUCCUACGGUAGGCAGCAGUAGGGAAUCUUCCGCAAGGGGCGAAAGCCUGACGGAGCAACGCCGCGGGAGUGAUGAAGGUCUUCGGAUCGUAAAACUCUGUUAUUAGGGAAGAACAAAUGUGUAAGUAACUAUGCACGUCUUGACGGUACCUAAUCAGAAAGCCACGGCUAACUACGUG
rnacentral:rRNA from 1 species